CCCUUAGAUGCCCUGGGCCGCACGCGCGUUACACUGAUGCAUUCAACGAGCCUAUAACCUUGGCCGAGAGGCCUGGCAAUCUUGUUAACGUGCAUCGUGAUAGGGAUAGAUUAUUGAAAUUAUUAAUCUUGAACGAGGAAUUCCUAGUAAACGCAGAUCAUCAAUCUGCAUUGAUUACGUCCCUGCCCUUUGUACACACCGCCCGUCGCACCUACCGAUUGGAUGGUCCGGUGAAGCCUCGGGAUUGUGGUUCUUGCCGCUUUAUUGUGGCGUGACCGCGAGAACUUGUCUAAACCUUAUCAUCUAGAGGAAGGUGAAGUCGUAACA
rnacentral:rRNA from 1 species